UGUAGAAAAUAAGUAGAUUUGGAAUUUAAACAAAUCUCACUAAUGUAUAAUUACAUCUACUCUAGGAUUUGUUAUGGAAAGAAUAUACUUUAAAAGAAUAUACCCUAAUGUUUUUAGACAUUUAAUUGCAUGAGCUGAAGUACACUACAAGUGCACAUUCAAUACAAUUAAGUGCACUUCUUUUUCACAAGGGUAUUUAAAGACACUAUUGUGUGUCACAGGUUUGACUCAUGUUAGUCAUGUGCUGCAUCAUUUCAUUACACCAGUAAGUGGCUGAAUCGACUCUACCUUUACCAGAAACAAGUAAACCUACAUUCCAAGGACUCCACCAAACCACUAAACUUGUAUGUUUUUGUACACCCAUCGCUUAUCUGUAUUUAUUUGCUGAUUCUCAGAAAGUAACUAUAACUCCUGACUCCCGUGGGAGAGCUGAGUCAGCGCCACCCUUUUCCUGCUUCCUCAGAUCCAGGAUCAGCCUCUCUAUUGUGCUCGGAGAGAAGAACCGCCCUGGGUGAGGUGUAAACAGUCCGCCAUUGUUUCAAUGCCGGAGCAGGGGAAGACAAGAAUGUGUCACACCUCACAAGACUGAGGGAAUGCACCCCGGAUCUACCUAAAUGGGCUUGCUUGCACGAAUCAUUUGUGAUCCAGCUU